GUGCUCGUUUCGGCAGCACAUAUACUAAAACUGGAACGACACAGAGAUUAGCAUGGCCCCUGCUCAAGGAUGAUACAAAUUUGUGAAGCAUUCCAUAUUUUG
ensembl:snRNA U6 U6 spliceosomal RNA